ensembl:Y_RNA Y_RNA Y RNA
GGCUAAUCCGAAUGCAGCGGUGUUUACAACUAAUUGAUCACAACGAAAUACAGAUUUAUUUAUUCCUUCUCCACUUCCACUGCUUCACUUGACUAGCCUUUA